CCUUAUACAUGCAAGUCGAACGGUAACAUUGGUGCUUGCACCAGAUGACGAGUGGCGCACGGGUGCGUAACGCGUAUGCAACCUACCUUUUACUAGAGUAUAGCCCAGAGAAAUUUGGAUUAAUCCUCUAUAAUAUCUUUUAAUUUCAUGAUUAAUUGAUUAAAGUUUUAACGGUAAAAGAUGGGCAUGCGUCCUAUUAGUUUGUAGGUGAGGUAACGGCUCACCUAGACUACGAUAGGUAGGGGCCCUGAGAGGGGGAUCCCCCACACUGGUACUGAGACACGGACCAGACUCCUACGGGAGGCAGCAGUAAGGAAUAUUGGACAAUGGACGAAAGUCUGAUCCAGCCAUGCCGCGUGCAGGAUGAAAGCCCUAUGGGUUGUAAACUGCUUUUAUACAGGAAGAAACACUCCGACUUGUCGGAGCUUGACGGUACUGUAAGAAUAAGGAUCGGCUAACUCCGUGCCAGCAGCCGCGGUAAUACGGAGGAUCCAAGCGUUAUCCGGAAUCAUUGGGUUUAAAGGGUCCGCAGGCGGUCUUUUAAGUCAGGGGUGAAAGCCUACAGCUCAACUGUAGAACGGCCUUUGAUACUGAAAGACUUGAGUUAUUGUGAAGUGGUUAGAAUGUGUGGUGUAGCGGUGAAAUGCAUAGAUAUCACACAGAAUACCGAUUGCGAAGGCAGAUCACUAACAAUAUACUGACGCUCAUGGACGAAAGCGUGGGGAGCGAACAGGAUUAGAUACCCUGGUAGUCCACGCCGUAAACGAUGGAUACUAGCUGUUCGUCUAACAUUGGUUAGAUGAGUGGCUAAGCGAAAGUGAUAAGUAUCCCACCUGGGGAGUACGGUCGCAAGACUGAAACUCA
rnacentral:rRNA from 1 species